AGCGAACGCUGGCGGCAGGCCUAACACAUGCAAGUCGAACGAACUCUUCGGAGUUAGUGGCGGACGGGUGAGUAACACGUGGGAACGUGCCUUUAGGUUCGGAAUAACUCAGGGAAACUUGUGCUAAUACCGAAUGUGCCCUUCGGGGGAAAGAUUUAUCGCCUUUAGAGCGGCCCGCGUCUGAUUAGCUAGUUGGUGAGGUAAAGGCUCACCAAGGCGACGAUCAGUGGCUGGUCUGAGAGGAUGCUCAGCCACAUUGGGACUGAGACACGGCCCAAACUCCUACGGGAGGCAGCAGUGGGGAAUCUUGCGCAAUGGGCGAAAGCCUGACGCAGCCAUGCCGCGUGAAUGAUGAAGGGCUUAGGAUUGUAAAAUUCUUUCAGCGGGGACGAUAAUGACGGUACCCGGAGAAGAAGCCCCGGCUAACUUCGUG
rnacentral:rRNA from 1 species